AGAUGCUGCGGACCCCAUUCACUUCUAUGGCCAGAGUUCCCUAAUGAAUACUUUUUGGGACAUAUUCGCUAUUUUUAGCAGACUCCAAACAGGGGGAGGGCGCUGUUGAUUUUGUUUGUCCAUAGAAGUGGGGUCAGCUGCCCCGAUUUACAGUAUAAGUCAGCAUCCGUUUUUGGAGAGGUGUUGAUGGAUACGAUUAAACAGGAACGCAGUGUGAUAAAUUUGAUAAACCAGCUCUGAAAUAUGUUCAGCACUGAAAGGGUGUUUGUGAUUCCAGCUCUGGAGGGGGCGUGGCCACUUAAUUAAGGACCCUUAAAUACAGCUGAUCCAGUGUGGCUCAGGUUUCCUGGAGGAGAUGAGGACAGGUGUGCACCAAACUUUUGGAGGGAAAUGUCAAGGAGCGUUUGUGGCCAAACAGGAGCAUUUGGUGCUGCCUCCUAACUCUGGACACACAUUCCUAGGAGAGUAAUACUACCAACCUCUACAUCAGCCUCAGCAUUACCAGAUAUCUACCCAGACUGGAAGGAGCUGCACUCACCCUUGUAGGUAUGAAAUGUUUAUUCUACUGCUUGUUGUGGAUCUAAGAACCACCCUAAACUUCCCCUCUUACUGUACUGAACAUGACAUCUAGUCAUUAUCAUAUGGUAUGAGAUGUUGAUUCUACUGCCUGAUGUGGAUUUUUGAAGAGCCUUAAACAACUUAUUCGCCUAAGAGCGUUCCCACAAUAUCCUUAAUUUUAGAAGUGUUCUCACUCAUCUUUACUUGCUACUGCUGUGCAGUUUUCACUGUAUGAAAAGCCCUCCCACUGUACUGCCCAGUCUCUCUACAGUGAUUAUGAUGAUCCUGUCCAUAACAAGGCUGAUAAUGGAGGAACAUGUGACAUACAUAUAACUCUUCAUACUCCGUAGGCAUAUACAGGUGCAGUGGAGUCACAUACUACUCCAUACUUGGCCAAAUUAUGGAUAUGAUUGCCAUAGUCACUAAAGAUAAGGACGAGGUAGAAUGGGGCAGGACUUGUUGAAUAGUAAAAACACAGCACAGCAGGAGCAAGUGACUGAGUGAUGAUACUUUACAAUUAUAGCACUUAUACAUACAUCCAAUCGGCAAAGAGACCUGCAUCUGGCCAUAAUCGCAUGAUUCUGACUGACUGGGGAGAGCUCUGCAUUUCUGAAGUUGCUGUUUUAUGUAGUCGAAAACCAUCAAGUAUGAAGAACUCUUGUAACCCGGAGCCCUGGCUGAGCUGGAUUAUGAUUUUACAAACAUACAAAAAGAAAACGGUCAAUUACAUUUUUUAAUGACAUUGAAUCUUUCUCCUGAUGAAAUGUUUUAGAAUCAGUUUGUCAAAUAUUUUUUUUACUUUGUCAAUAAAAUUUGGUUUAUAGAA